rnacentral:rRNA from 2 species
UGAGGAAUAUUGGUCAAUGGGCGAGAGCCUGAACCAGCCAAGUAGCGUGCAGGACGACGGCCCUAUGGGUUGUAAACUGCUUUUAUAAGGGAAUAAAGUGAGUCUCGUGAGACUUUUUGCAUGUACCUUAUGAAUAAGGACCGGCUAAUUCCGUGCCAGCAGCCGCGGUAAUACGGAAGGUCCGGGCGUUAUCCGGAUUUAUUGGGUUUAAAGGGAGCGUAGGCCGGAGAUUAAGCGUGUUGUGAAAUGUAGUGGCUCAACCUCUGCACUGCAGCGCGAACUGGUCUUCUUGAGUACGCACAACGUGGGCGGAAUUCGUGGUGUAGCGGUGAAAUGCUUAGAUAUCACGAAGAACUCCGAUUGCGAAGGCAGCUCACGGGAGCGCAACUGACGCUGAAGCUCGAAAGUGCGGGUAUCGAACAGG